GGGAACGACAGAAAGACGCAGUCUGUUGCGAUGAAAACAAAGUGGCAUCUCUUCUUUUUGUGGAGCGUUUUAUCACUUGGACUCCUCAGCUCUGCAGUGGACACGUAUGAAUCUGCAUUUACUGGAAGGAAAAAGCUUCUCAAACUGAGCACACAGAAAUUCAAUCCAGUCCAUAUGCUCACUGCAGGAGUCGGAAGAUCCAGGCAGAAGUCUCCUUCCAGCCCAUCUCCACCGGCUCCUCUCGGCUCCCUGCAGGGGUCACAUCCUCCACACACGCCUGGAUCCACGCGUCCGGAAAAGCCUAGGGCAAAGAUUCGGUCAGCUUUUGCUUAUCUUCCAGACGCCUCUGUAGCCUGCUCCGCGUAUGACUUCGUCGUUCGGGUCAAACCAACUUUCUACGGUCUGGGUGCAGACGCAGAUGAGCUGAAGUUAGGUAGCAGCUGUAAAAGUAACGGUGUCCUCAGACCGUACGGUGACCUGCUCUUCACGUACCCGCUGACAGCGUGUGAUGGCGUGCGUGAGCUGCUCCAGGACCACCUGGUCUACAAAUACGUGCUUCAUUAUAAACCUUCACCGAACCGAUUUCCAAGCAGAGCGCACCCGUUCAAUGUCGAUAUUGAAUGUCGUUUUCAGAGGUUAGAUGCGUUUCUUUGGCGUUUAUAACGUGUUUAUAUUUGGACAGUAUUCACAAACUCUGAACUCUUCCUCCUGCAGGGACCAUCAUGUUUAUCAGCUGGCUGUACGGCCCACCUGGGGAACUGUUGCUGUGCGCAAAAGGCUGAAUGGACGUCCCAGCGACUUCCAGAUCCAGCUAAUGGAUGGUAAAGCAAUGUGUCCAGAGAGGCUGCAUCAUUCACUUUAAUGAAUAUUAAACAGGAGAUUUUAUUUGUUACUCUUAGAUGCGUGGGACAGACCAGCCAUGUCUCCGGUGUACCAGCUCGGACAGACAGUUAAUUUCCAAGUCUCUGCUCUUCACCUCCCUGCUGGAGGAAAACUGUACAUCAGUAGCUGCUCUGCAACACCAAGAGUCUCCAAAUCCUCCCUCAAAUACACCAUCAUAGACAACUCUGGGUGUGUACUUUGGACAGCAACACUUUUUAGAUCUCCUUGUUUUGUCCCUGCUGCAUGCAUUCUGUUGUGAUCCAUGUCCACAGCUGCAUGCUGGACAGCAAGCGGAACCACGGGACCUCUCAGUUCAUUUCACGCACUGACAAAACCCUCAGGUGGUCUUUAAACGCCUUCCAGUUUGCAGCUGAUCCAGACACUGAGGUGAGAGUGGGCGAGUCAUUAACCUCUGGAUUUACUGAACUAUGUUCACACUAUGGCUUCAUCCUGUUUUUAUUUCAGGUCAGCAUUCACUGCACAUUAUUUGUCACAUCAGAGGCCCUGGGUCCCGCACAGAAAUCCUGCACCUAUAGGGGCGACAGGUGAGCAUAGGUAACGUGCAAAUGUUUUCUAUUUCAUAGCUGCAGAUUUCCAGCUGUUGAUCUUUGCCACCAACAGGUGGAGGGCUCUGACUGGCGACGACUCCAUAUGUAAAUGCUGUGAGUCACAGUGUGUGGCCUCUAAACCCCGCAGGGUUCUGGUGGAAGGUCGGUGUUACUUUUAGUUUUAAAAAGAACAACUAUAAGCACCACCUAAUCUGUAGUCUUUCAUAUAUCAA
ensembl:lncRNA zona pellucida sperm-binding protein 3-like